GAAUGGGCUGAGAGAGAUGUGGGAUGAUUUGUGGAGGGAUUUCAGGGAUUUGCAUAGAGAGGGAGAUGAGACAGAGAGAGGGAUUUCAGCGAUUUGCCAAUCCUUCCCCUUCACACAGAAGCUCUGCAAAGCAGUAGUCUUCCUUUCUUUUCUAACCCAGCGCCGUUUCAUUUCUUCUUCGUUCUGGAGCCCUCCCAUAUUUCUACAGCUCCUCUCGAAGCCAAAACCAAACCCAGCUCCAAUCCUUCUUAGGCCACCUCCAACUACUGUUCUCUCAUCUUCUCUAAAGCAUCCAUCAGAACUGAAAGCAUCCUCCAUCUUGACUCUCAGAAUAGCAAUCCAACAGACCUCGGACAUGCAGCAAUCAAAUCGCAGGUCUCCGACAUCCACGAAGGUAAAACGAUGGAAAAAAGAAAAGAAACGGAGAAACAAGGAAGAACAGAAACGCAUAUAACAACAGUGAGACCAAAUGGAAGAUCUAACGGGGGAAAAAAAAACAGCAGCGGAGAAACCGAUGCCUAUAGAUUCCAAAGGAAAAGGUACGAUUGUUUACACUGAAAUGUAGUUUUCAUAUUUCUCGUCUUUAUGUUUAUAGUGAUUGUUUAAGGAAUUCAAACUGUACUCAGUUAGUGUGUGUAUUUUUGGAGCUUAAGAUAAAGUUUUAGGCUUUUUUUUUUUCAAGUUGAGGCUAAAUGGGCUUACAGUAUAGUUGACUUCCUACAAUGUGGAGAUGAAAAUUAACAAAGUCAAAGAAGACGGCUAUGGCGUUCAAUUUCAAAAGCUGUAUAGUUCAUUUAGAGGGAUCAAGAAUUACAUUUUUUUAUUGAUGGAGUGACAAGCAUGACCCAACCAAAAUGAAAGGAAUGCCCAGAGAAAAGUCAUUGAAGAAAUGAGUGAAAGAGCCAAAGCAUCAUUUGAAAGUGAGGUUUUACAAUUUCUACCAUGUACGUACACCAGAUACUUCUGACGUUUCACAUAAGUUGGAGUUGCAAACGUUGAGUCUUCAGAGCGAGUAAGUCUACAGGGAUACAUUUUGUUUUGAUCUUAUCUUGUGUGAUUGCAUUUGAUGUUGGGGUUAGAUGUGGAACAUAUUAAAAUAAUCACCGUUGAUUCAUAAUCUGCAGAUUUCAUUCUACGUGUAUGUAAAUAGAGUUCAUAUAAUCAAACAUGUUUGACUAUAAUUUAGAUACAACAACUUUCAUUCUACAUGUUUGAAUAUAUGAACUCCAAAAACUUUGUUUACAAACUUGUUUGAUUAUAUUCAGGUUAGAUGGGAACUAUUAUUAGCACUCCAAAAAUCUCAUUUGA